UGUAGGGCCGUGGAUGCGUAAAGUGGCCUCGCGUGUCCUAUUUCAGACGGCCCUGAGAAGAACGGGAGCCAAGAUGGCCUCGCACUGCUGUACCUACUAGCGAGGAAAGCGGGAGGGGGCGAAAUUUCCUUCGCCCCCUGAGGAGAGCUCUGCCGAGCCAAGAGUGGAGCAUGACACGGGAGGGACCGUAGAUGCGUUAUAUCUACACGAUCCCGCAGCCUCUCUGUUCCAUACCGAAGCCGGUCAGUAGUUUCAGUAGAAAUCAACAAUAUGUGAAAUGAACAUACGAGGCAUUUUAAGGACUCAAAAAUACAAACAAUAUUGACAAAUGGCCUGAGAACUGAAUAAUUAAGUAACCAGCGGCCUAGUAAAUAAAUGGAAGCCGUCAGAAAGUUAACCGGCCCAUUGAAAAACCGGAUUAUGUGGGACUCCACAGUAAAACCACUGCGAUGGCCGUCCUCGGCACGGAUCGGGUAGGAUGCGGGAUCGUGUCGAUAUAGCGCAUCCCUCCCGUGCUGUGCUCCGCUCGUGGCUCAGGAAACUCUUUUUGGUGUUCUAACUUCUAUCCAAUAUGCCAUCUUGGCUCUAUAUUUUACAUAUUAUAUGAAUGAUUAUCCGACUUAAAAUUUAAUUCAUAUAUUAUCGCAGUCAUACUAUUCGUCUUAGUCA